UUGGGCGUAAGAGCUCGUAGGCGGUUUGUCGCGUCUGCCGUGAAAGUCCGGGGCUCAACUCCGGAUCUGCGGUGGGUACGGGCAGACUAGAGUGAUGUAGGGGAGACUGGAAUUCCUGGUGUAGCGGUGAAAUGCGCAGAUAUCAGGAGGAACACCGAUGGCGAAGGCAGGUCUCUGGGCAUUAACUGACGCUGAGGAGCGAAAGCAUGGGGAGCGAACAGGAUUAGAUACCCUGGUAGUCCAUGCCGUAAACGUUGGGCACUAGGUGUGGGGGACAUUCCACGUUUUCCGCGCCGUAGCUAACGCAUUAAGUGCCCCGCCUGGGGAGUACGGCCGCAAGGCUAAAACUCAAAGGAAUUGACGGGGGCCCGCACAAGCGGCGGAGCAUGCGGAUUAAUUCGAUGCAACGCGAAGAACCUUACCAAGGCUUGACAUGGGCCGGACCGGGCUGGAAACAGUCCUUCCCCUUUGGGGCCGGUUCACAGGUGGUGCAUGGUUGUCGUCAGCUCGUGUCGUGAAAUGUUGGGUUAAGUCCCGCAACGAGCGCAACCCUCGUUCCAUUUUGCCAGCGCGUAAUGGGCGGGGGACUCAUGGGAGACUGCCGGGGUCAACUCGGAGGAAGGUGGGGGACGACGUCAAAUCAUCAUGCCCCUUAUGUCUUGGGCUUCACGCAUGCUAC
rnacentral:rRNA from 1 species